rnacentral:tRNA from 14 species
GGUGAAGUGUCCGAGUGGCUGAAGGAGCACGCCUGGAAAGUGUGUAUACGUUUAUAGCGUAUCGAGGGUUCGAAUCCCUCUUUCACCGCCA